rnacentral:rRNA from 1 species
GUCCUUUGGACAAUGGUAGGAGAGCGUUCUAAGGGCGUUGAAGCAUGAUCGUAAGGACAUGUGGAGCGCUUAGAAGUGAGAAUGCCGGUGUGAGUAGCGAAAGAUGGGUGAGAAUCCCGUCCACCGAUUGACUAAGGUUUCCAGAGGAAGGCUCGUCCGCUCUGGGUUAGUCGGGUCCUAAGCUGAGGCCGACAGGCGUAGGCGAUGGAUAACAGGUUGAUAUUCCUGUACCACCUAUAAUCGUUUUAAUCGAUGGGGGGACGCAGUAGGAUAGGCGAAGCGUGCGAUUGGAUUGCACGUCUAAGCAGUAAGGCUGAGUAUUAGGCAAAUCCGGUACUCGUUAAGGCUGAGCUGUGAUGGGGAGAAGACAUUGUGUCUUCGAGUCGUUGAUUUCACACUGCCGAGAAAAGCCUCUAGAUAGAAAAUAGGUGCCCGUACCGCAAACCGACACAGGUAGUCAAGAUGAGAAUUCUAAGGUGAGCGAGCGAACUCUCGUUAAGGAACUCGGCAAAAUGACCCCGUAACUUCGGGAGAAGGGGUGCUCUUUAGGGUUAACGCCCAGAAGAGCCGCAGUGAAUAGGCCCAAGCGACUGUUUAUCAAAAACACAGGUCUCUGCUAAACCGUAAGGUGAUGUAUAGGGGCUGACGCCUGCCCGGUGCUGGAAGGUUAAGAGGAGUGGUUAGCUUCUGCGAAGCUACGAAUCGAAGCCCCAGUAAACGGCGGCCGUAACUAUAACGGUCCUAAGGUAGCGAAAUUCCUUGUCGGGUAAGUUCCGACCCGCACGAAAGGCGUAACGAUUUGGGCACUGUCUCAACGAGAGACUCGGUGAAAUCAUAGUACCUGUGAAGAUGCAGGUUACCCGCGACAGGACGGAAAGACCCCGUGGAGCUUUACUGUAGCCUGAUAUUGAAAUUCGGCACAGCUUGUACAGGAUAGGUA